rnacentral:sRNA from 10 species
AGAGGUCCGGGUUCCGAUUCCCAGCUCUCCUACUUGAGGGCAGUAUCGACCGGGCGUAAUAUCGAGGGCGUGUCCCGGACUUUCCAGGUUGA